rnacentral:rRNA from 1 species
GAUGAACGCUGGCGGCGUGCUUAACACAUGCAAGUCGAACGAGAAGUGAAGACGGAAACCUUCGGGCGGAAGGCUUUAUUUCGAGUGGCGGACGGGUGAGUAACGCGUGGGUAACCUGCCUCAUACAGGGGGAUAACAGUUGGAAACGACUGUUAAUACCGCAUAAGACCACAGCACCGCAUGGUGCGGGGGUAAAAACUCCGGUGGUAUGAGAUGGACCCGCGUUCGAUUAGCCAGUUGGCGGGGUAACGGCCCACCAAAGCGACGAUCGAUAGCCGAUCUGAGAGGAUGACCGGCCACAUUGGGACUGAGACACGGCCCAAACUCCUACGGGAGGCAGCAGUGGGGAAUAUUGCACAAUGGGGGAAACCCUGAUGCAGCGACGCCGCGUGAGUGAAGAAGUAUUUCGGUAUGUAAAGCUCUAUCAGCAGGGAAGAAAAUGACGGUACCUGAGGAAGAGGCCCCGGCUAACUACGUG